GAGAGAGACUCAGGGAUCAUUUCUAUAGUAUGUGACUAGAGAAGUUUCUCUCAUCGUGUAGAGCAUCUGAAGCCACGAGGAGGAGCCAGAGUGUCCUCUCCUGAGCGUGAAGCCAGCUCUAGGUGUCGCUUCUGCGGCUGCCUCUUGCGAUUGAUGAUCGUUCUUCCCUUACUUUGGAAGGGGUAGAGAGGGAGAAUGCAGUCUGAGUGAU